ACAAGCAUUUUCAGCCACAAAAUUGACUUAAAAGCAAAACGAGGUCGCGAUUGACUGAUUCAAAUUUGAAGAAUUCUCUUCUGCUCUCAGUAACUAAUUUAACUCCAAACAUUAAAAGCUUGGUGAAAUCAAAACAGACUCAAAACUCUCAUUAAGAUACAACAUGGAACAGGCCAGUCUACCCUUUUGAACCGCACCAUCCGGCAACCCCGAUUUAACCCUCGCCCUGUCAUGGGACAAUUUACAACGAUCAAUCAACUUACCCACCGCUAUGCGUUUGGACUGUGGGAGGAAACUGGAGGAAACCCACACAUUCCAUGGGGAGGACGUCUAGACUCCUUACAGAGAGAAGAUGCCAGAACAGGGCUGUGACCCGACGAAGGCCGUGGAAAUCGAUGGAGGAUCGGUGAAGGGGAAACCGUGAGGCUCAACUUGUGCACGUUAGACUGUUUUUUUUUGCUUUUUCUUCACUAACCCUGCAAUCAAAUUAAGAAUUAUAAAGCCAAAUCCUUUAAUUGUAUGCAGCGUACUGUCUGUUAUUUUGUGGUACUGAUUUGUA